rnacentral:misc_RNA from 1 species
ACAAACUUGGUCAUUUAGAGGAAGUAAAAGUCGUAACAAGGUCUCCGUUGGUGAACCAGCGGAGGGAUCAUUAUCGAGUUUACAACUCCUAAAACCCCAUGUGAAUCUUUAUCUCACUGUUGCUUCGGCGGGUAGAGCUUCUCUUUUGCCCCGGGGAGCCCGGGUCCGCGAGAGCGGCCCGGCCCCGGAACUAGGCGCCCGCCGGGGGACCAAAAAUUUCAACUCUUGUAUCUUUCCUUACCUGUCUGAGUGGAUUUACAAAAUUUUAAAUGAAUCAAAACUUUCAACAACGGAUCUCUUGGUUCUGGCAUCGAUGAAGAACGCAGC